rnacentral:tRNA from 1 species
GGGGAUAUAGCUCAGUUGGUAGAGGGCUUCUCAUGCCCAAGGCCCUGGGUUCAAUCCCCAGUAUCACACA